AGAAAAUAGAUUUCUUUCCACGUUCCUUAUGUAUUUUUCUUACAAAUGGAUAAGUUCUUUUUCAUAAUUUCAGUUACCCGACCGUUUCCAUUGUAGUCGUAAUGUAUAUUAGUAGAAUGGACAUGUUUUAGAUUUUGUCAAAUCAUCGUCUGCUGUUCAGACGUCUGCUACAUUUGGGGCAGAGUUGAAUUUAUUUUCGCUGUCAUUUUCUUAAACGAGCAAUCCUUGAUCUACUUUAUGCCGAGAAAUGAAUAAGUUUGCUGAUCAUAUUUUAACUUUUACUGUUAUUUAUUAUUUAGUUAUUCAAUUGUUUUUUUCGCUGUAACCAACUUUAUUUUUUUUAAUGUUUAUUCCACGUUCCUUUGUUAAUGCCCAUUGAAUAACUGGCUGGUUCUUCAUUGGGUAUUAUAACUUUUUGUGUUACUAUUGCAGUUUUGUUUUACGAUUUCCAAAAAUGCAUAACCAUUUUAUUAUCUAUUCGUUUAGUUUCAGUUCUAUUUUCGACUUUAUUUUCUAUAGUAUAAAGAUUAUUUUGGAAACUGCUACCGUUGGAAAGUUUCUCGCGUUAUAUUCACUCGUAAAGUAGAACUUAUUCAGCCGCUCUCUGAAAUCCCAGGCCAUGAACAAGUUAUUUUUAAAACUGGAUUUAAAGUUUUAUUAUAUGUUAGACCUAUGUACGGCGAAAUGACUCACUAUUUUUUCUAGACUAGACUUAAAUUAACAAGUACUUAAAAGUUCAUUGUUUUCAACAUGUGUGUUAAUUUACAUUUAGGUAUAUAAAACAUCCUGUACGUUUUAUUUCUAUGUUUUAUAGAGUAUGAUUUCAGAUUAGAAUGACAGGAACAAAAACAAACUCUUCAUCCACGAAGAUCUUGAAGAUAUUUUUGUAUGUUGCUAUUAUCAACGUCGGUGUGGAAUAUAAUAUAGGAUACAUCGUCAGUAGAUUCGACUUUUAUAUAUAGGGAUACACCGUAAGCGUAGAUGUCGCCACAUGCAAUUCGAGGAAAGAAGUGAGAAAUAAAAGGGACCCCUACGGGCGUUUGACCUCCUAUCACCGAGGACUAUAAAACGGACAAUGAUCCUACAAGUCAAUACAUUUAAUAAAGGUUUAAGCAAUCAACAUAGUAGUCAUUUUAAUUAACUUAGAGAAAGAUUAAGUGCAGAAAAAAAU